rnacentral:rRNA from 1 species
UACAGAGGGGGCAGGCGUUAUUCGGAAUUACUGGGCGUAAAGGGCUCGUAGGCGGCCAACUAAGUCAGACGUGAAAUCCCUAGGCUCAACCUAGGAACUGCGUCUGAUACUGGAUGGCUUGAAUCCGGGAGAGGGAUGCAGAAUUCCAGGUGUAGCGGUGAAAUGCGUAGAUAUCUGGAGGAAUACCGGUGGCGAAGGCGGCAUCCUGGACCGGCAUUGACGCUGAGGAGCGAAAGCCAGGGGAGCAAACGGG